rnacentral:rRNA from 1 species
AACGAACGCUGGCGGCAGGCUUAACACAUGCAAGUCGAACGCCCCGCAAGGGGAGUGUCAGACGGGUGAGUAACACGUGGGAACGUACCCUUUGGUUCGGAAUAACUUGGGGAAACUCAAGCUAAUACCGGAUAAGCCCUUAUGGGGAAAGGUUUAGCUGCCGAAGGAUCGGCCCGCGUCUGGUUAGCUAUUGGGUGAGGUCAUGGCUCACCAAGGCGACGAUCAGUAGCUGGUCUGAGAGGAGGAUCAGCCAAACCGGGACCGAGCCACGGCCCAGAGUCCUAGGGGAGGCAGGAGUGGGCAAUAUUGGACCGUGGGGGCAACCUAGAGCCGGCCAUGCCGCGUGAAUGAUACAGGCCUUAGGGUUGUAAAGCUCUUUUACCCGGGACGAUAAUGACUGUACCGGGAGAAUAAGCCCCGGCUAACUUCGUGCCAGAAGCCGCAGUAA